AGCACAUCUGGGUGGCAGAUAGAGUGGAGGGGGCAGGGCUCUGAGGGUGGCCCUGGCUGCUGCUGCUGCUGCUCCUGCUGCUGCAGGUAAGGAGAGUGGGUAAGCAGGCUGGGGAAGAGGGGACCAGGGAGAGGGAUGUAGACAGCCCAGCAGAAGUGCCCACUAAUGGGAGUUUCCUCUUAUAUCUUUGGGAUGGACUGGAAUGGGAUCAGGUAAUGUGGUACAAAUGGGAAAGGGAAAGGAGGCAAUGCAUGCAGACGGUGCUUGUCCAGCCUGACCCAGGAGGGACUGGGCGAUGAAACAGAAGCUGGAGGUCCCUCUACUGCAUCUUGAAGUUGAGAGAAUUAGGUGGAUUCAGCAGAGCAAUCCCCCAGCACUGUGCUGAUAUCCUGGGAGAUGUAAAGAAAAGCGAGACAGAGUCUCCCCUUAAAAAAGCAUUCACUCACUGUGCAGAGGAGGCGUUAGUAGAGCAAAAGGUAAAUAACAGCAAAAAGACAGGCAGUAACAUGAA
rnacentral:lncRNA from 10 species